rnacentral:lncRNA from 1 species
AGCCGAUUGGCCCCCUUUAUUUCUUUUUUUGUUUGUUUAUAAUUUGUUUUAUUAUUAUUAAUAAUUAUUUUUAUAUAUAGUUUUUUCUUAUUUGUUUAUUUGUUGUUUAUUUAAAUAUAAUUGAUUUUUGAAUUAGAUUUUAAGCACUCAUAUUAUGCACACUUUUUUAAUGUUUUAUUUAUUCUUAAUUUUGUUUAUUGUAUUUUGUUCUUUGUUUUUUAAAUUAUUUUAUUUGAGAUUUUAUUUACUUUUUAUUCUUAUUAUGAAUAUGAAGAUUUGACUUUUAUUCUUUAUAUUAAAACUCAUUAAUUAUUUGUG